AGUGGCUGGAGUGGAAGUGAGGAAGAGGGAGAGCUCCUGGGCACCAGAAUGAAUGGGGAGGGUCCUUUAGGGCACUGUGAGGCCAUUAGCUUUUACUCCUACUGAGACUGGACAUCCCAGGAGAGUUUCAGAGCAGAGAAGUGCUAUGACUGCUCUUGAAGUUUAAGAGGACCAGGUGGCUGGCUUUGCUGUGUGUCAGAGAACAGGAGCAGAAACAGGGAGACCAGCUGGGAGGUGACUGCAAAAGUCCAGGUGAGAGGCGAUGGAGCUAGUGAGGAGUGCCGGAGGCCUGGUGUAUUCUGACGGUGCCAGGACCUGUGAUAGGUGCUGAGAGAGUUUGUAGAUAAUAAAACAAAGGUUCAAAGAAGUCAAGUUGUUUGCUCAAGAUCACACAGCUGAUUCUAGACAAAAUGUAUUCAGCAGAGAAGGGAGGAGGAGAACAGUCAAAGUGUAUCAUCUUUCUUGCUGCCCUUGAAGAGUGGUGUCCAGUGAAUCUUUCAAAGAAUGAUACUGAGCUUCAUUGUUGAUGAACAAAAAUGCAAAUCUCACCCAGAGCAUGCAGGAACAUGCUAUAAUCACUACACUCCUAGAAUGUGAUCUCUUUCAAUAUUGACUGCAUCCAUGCCUUCCACACACUUGCACCAGUUGGGAGGAUGGAGAUGUCAUCUGGGCAGAGGGAGAAGAGCAGUACCAUUCAGAGGUCUGUCCCUCUUAAGAUAUAUUCUCUCUGUCAACCUAGACCAUAGUUGUUCAACAUAAUACUUACACAUUUGAAAAAAGAAGAUUGUUUUAUUGGAGUGCCUUAAGAUGUUUUCAACAUAUGGAUUUUACAGCAGGGCAGUUCAAGAGGCAUGAGGAAUGUUUCUUUUCUCUAUUUGUUGGAGCACUGGAGUGUGAGCUGAAGCAGCCUAAUCCUGACUUGCAGAAAUGGAGAGGACAUGACUUACCGGAAUUGUUCAUGGAAUUGGUUUGGCUAAUUCUCAUUGAUUCUGCCAUUUCUCCAGAAGCCAUUACUACAGCUGUUGAAACAGGGGUAGAGAAAAAUGACAGGUGCUAAGUGGUAUCUAGGAGGUUAAUAAUGAGCAUAUUUAAAAUAAUCUCUAGGACUUCUGGAAUUUUCUAGGAGGAAUCUUAAGAAAUGCUCUAGAUUUUGUAACAGCUAAUAAAGGAGAUAUUAUAAUGCUGAUGGUGACAGUGGUGACCCUGAUCUACCCUGGAAAACUUGGCUUUUAUUGUUUAUUCUGUCGUAUCUCAUCGUUAAUUCCUAUUUUUUAUUCUUUACUUUAAAAAUUGUUUUUAUUUUAGCUACACAAUUAGUUACACUUUUUUUAUUCUUGGGACCUAUAACAUUCAAUGAACGUCUUAGAAAGGUGAUGGUAAUGUCUAGACCAAACAAAAGAAGAAUAGGAAACUGUUCAGGUAAGUAAAAAAGAUAGUCUGUCCUCUUUUAGAGUUUUUGUGCUCAGAGGUGAAGUUUUCCCCUCACAUACCUAAUAAAAACUAUAAUUUGCAUUAUAAACUCCCUGCUACUUAGGUUCCUAAGGGGUGGACCAUCUUGACCUUUUAAUUAUUAAUGCUUUUCCUCAAAUUACAAUUAUUUGAGGAAUAAUUACAAUCCCUGUCCUGCUAACUGGCAAUUUUCUAAUAGAGUUUUCAUUUCUCCAUAUUUCAUUAAUUGCAACUUGUGUAUCAUAUAAUGAUAGAAUCUUCAGAACAGCACCUUGUUAACUGGAAAGGUUAUGAAAUGCUAAUGAGCUCUUUUAAAUGGCUAACUCCCUGUAAGACUCUCCAGAUUCUUUCUUUUCUUUAAUGUUUCUUAUAUUUUUAGACAUUCUUCCUUGUAAAGUAUUCUUCAAGAUUAUUUUAAAUAUUCUUGAAAAGAAAUUAACAUAUUUGAUGGCCUUCUGUAUGUUGAACCUGCUCACAUAAUUACUGUGUUUAUUUCUUUCAACAAGCCCUGUGAGUAAGGCAUUCCUGCUCCUCUGCAGUAAAGGGAAACAAGGAUAAAAAAACAAUGUUAUUGGCUCAAGGUCAAUGGUGGAGCAACGAUUUAAGUUCAAAUUUUCCAUCUUCAAAUCUUGUGUUCUUUCUUUUGUAGAACUCAAAGGGCUGUGUGAAAAGUUUACUGUGGAAAAAGAAAUUGAAAAAACUGCCACUAAGUAGCAAUGGAAGGACUUUUCCCGCUAAGAUGAGGAACUGCUCAGAUCACCAGCUGCUUCAGGUUACCAGCCCACACCUGUCUGUCUCACCUCUGACAACCUUGGUAAAGAAACCAAGGCUUAGAGACCUGCUCACAGUCGUUUCGUGAGGGAAUGCAACAUCUGGGUCUAGGGUCCAAAUCUAUCUCUGCUGUGAAGAGGAACUCAUACAGGAGAUCUACAUGAUUACCAAUUCUUGGCCUUGCAGUGGAGGGAUUUGUCCUUACAGUGCUGUGGAAACUGGUGAAGAGGUCUGAGUUUGGAUAUAAAGCUGUAGUUUCUGGCCUGGUGCUGGCACCUGAAGUCCACAGACAGCUGGGCAAAGAAGAUGGAUGGGAAGCAGAGGAAGAAAAGGCAAGCUGAAUGAAGGAGAAACUGGUGCCUUCCAUCAUGGAGCUAAAUAUGCAUCUGGUCCAGGAUUCAGGGAAAUUGAUGCAGCAGGAGGAUCUGGCAGGAGCCCAGCUGCUGCCCCUCACCAACAAGGUGAGCUUGUGGAUAAGUGACAACAUGCAUGAGUUCCAACAGUGCUUGGAGCCCUGCAUCCAUCUUCCAAGCAUAAAAAAACAAGAUGGCUACUGCUUCACUUCCACUUUCUACAUCUUAUGCAAAAUGUCUCUUGAGGUCCACACUGUCCAAGAAAUCUGCAGAAAAGACAUAUGGAAGACUUAGUUCUAAGCCAAGUUGAUACAAUAGACAUCUAUCACACACUAUUUAUCAUAAGAUUUGGUGAGGGACGGGGGGUUCACAGAUGCCCUAAACCCCACUGAUAGAUAGCCUAGGGGUUUAUGAGCCUUGGAUUAUUAAAAAUCUCUCUUCUAGUGUUCAUGAUAAUAGGAAUGGCAUCAGUGACUUAAUUAAGAAAACAUCACCUUCUGAAUUUAGGCUGAUCCGUGUCAAUGAGUUUUAAUAGCUGGAAAAAUUUGUAUUUUAGUUACCUUUCUAAUUUUCUCUUCACUUGAGAGCCUGUCAAUCUUCUCAGUACUCAGGAGUCAGUCUGUCAGUACUAAGGAGUCACAUUCUUUACAAUGCCUUUUUAAAAUGUUAAGUUUUAUUUCCUAAUUUUUCAAGCAAAUGCACAUAUUAUUAAAAAUGUAUAUGCCACUGACUUUAGUCAUAAUUAAAUAAAAUAAAUGAGUGGUUUUUCUUUGAAAUCAAAUGUAUCAGGUAAUUUUAAGCCAUGGAAUUGUGUUUAAGUUAUUGCCAUUUAUUUUGAAUUUUUAAACUUAUUGAGCACUGGGUCCUCCUUUAUUCUUACUCUAGUUUUUCACUUUUGCCCUUAUGAAUCUUUUGAGUUAAUAGAAAACCUUUCAGUUAGAUUGUCUCUUGAUCUUUUGACCAAUCUUCAACUUCAUAGAAAGUAGGUAGCCCCUGCCCAUCUGCUUACUGACACAAGGAAAAGCCUUUCUAUUGCUAGGUGCUAUCUAGUGCUGGAUAAUAACAGCUGAGAUAUUGGGAGUUUUAUGCAGUGCUACUUUAUUGCUAUGGGAACUUAGACAACUCUCUUUUCUGAAAACUGUUUUCACAAAAAAAUUGCUUCAUAGGAUUUCACUAAACAUCUUCCCAUUGUCAGGUGGUUCUCAAAGUCUUACAUCUUGUAAUGAAUGUGAUUAUCAAGUUUACAUAAACAUCGAUAAAAAGAAAAGUCUUUUUCUUUUUACCCAUUGUCCAAUAUGUACCUGAGAUACUUUCUGGUAUUAUAUCAUGGAGGCGAAAAAUAGCAGUUGAUGGAAAUAUGGUAUUAGUACAAAAAGUGAUUUUGGAUUUUUAAAACUGUAUUCAUUCAAAAAUUAUGUCCAUUAAAAAAUAAUUCCUAUAGAUAUUUAGUUAGAAAGUAAACAAGACUUCUUAGGUUCUGGCCUUAUGAUCUAAACAGAAAGUUUCAUUCAUGUAUCUUAUCUGUAAAAUUACAUUUGUAAUUUCUUAAUUUUCAUAGAAAAUGACCUCGUUUUAAUUAUUGGUCUUCUGGACUUAGGCAUAG
rnacentral:lncRNA from 1 species